CGUCCAGCAGGCUGCAGCCUUCCGUGGCUGAUAUGGCGCCGGCAAUGGCAUCGAUUACCUGGGGAGCAGCAGAGAAGCGUUCGGAACGCCGGCCAAUACAGGGGUCAACAUUAAGGGCCAGUCUGCCAUAUUGCAUUCAAUUGUUCUUAAAAAAGAAAGAAGAAUGAACUCUGAAAGGAGAAAGAAACACAUAAUCCAGGAUCGGUCCACCGUAUGUGAUUGUCAAGAAUCAUCAUUUAAAAUGCAGCAUGUCCCGCAGAGGUCAGAGGUCCCUCAGAGGUCAAAGGUCGUCGCCUCCACCUUACCUCUUCUGCUGUGAUCGCUCAGGUCAUGCCCUCCCUCUUCACCAGUGUGAUGGAACGCCUGGACUGGCCGCACGUUUUAAACAGCUCCGGAGAUGAACGCUGUUUAAUGAAUGACCCUCUAAUCUCCCCGCAGUUACCUCAUGUCCCCAAAAGCUAACAGAAACUGACUGUUCAUUAAUGGAGUUGAGACUGACGGAAAAAUAGUGCCAACAGAUGGUUUCCCCUCUAAAGGUUCAC